AAUGCUUUAUCGGCCAAAAUGUUUUUUAUUUAUUUUAUACACAAAAGUCUGAGAAUAUGGUACGUAGUUGGAAGUUCAUAUACGAGAUCGUGAACCUAAGCUGUCUUCAUUAACACGAUAAACAGGAAACGUGGAUUAGCACAGGUUACACCCGAACACGACCUGUUUGACCCUUAUUGUUAUGUUUUAAAACAAAUGAAAUCAACACAUUUAGUCGACUUUGUUCUGCCUUCGACAAUAAAUUUGUUAAGGAACUAUUUGGAGGAACAUGAAAGGAGAAGGUAGCGCUGGGGUCACUGUCGAAUGCGGUAAUAGUGGAAUAUCGGUAUGCUGGCAGUAUGUAAUGACAAGAAGAUGCACCAUCGGGAUUAAGCUGGGAGACCGAGAGUAGUAUACUUCUCGUCCUGGAAUGAAUGAGUUUACAUUAUUGAUUUCCCAAUGAAAAAAAAUGUGAACAUCGCCGGAAUGAAUUUAUUUCAAUUACAUAGUGUA
rnacentral:lncRNA from 1 species